rnacentral:rRNA from 1 species
AGUGAACGCUGGCGGUAGGCCUAACACAUGCAAGUCGAACGGCAGCACAGUAAGAGCUUGCUCUUACGGGUGGCGAGUGGCGGACGGGUGAGGAAUACAUCGGAAUCUACUUUUUCGUGGGGGAUAACGUAGGGAAACUUACGCUAAUACCGCAUAUGACCUACGGGUGAAAGCAGUGGAUCUUCGGACCUUGCGCGACUGAAUGAGACGAUGUCGGAUUAGCUAGUUGGCGGGGUAAAGGCCCACCAAGGCGACGAUCCGUAGCGGGUCUGAGAGGAUGAUCAGCCACACUGGAACUGAGACACGGUCCAGACUCCUACGGGAGGCAGCAGUGGGGAAUAUUGGACAAAGGGCGCAAGCCUGACGCAGCCAUGCCGCGUGAGUGAAGAAGGCCUUCGGGUUGUGAAGCCCUUUUGUUGGGAAAGAAAAGCAGCAUGUUAAUACCCCGCUGUUCUGACGGUACCCAAUGAAUAAGCACCGGCUAACUUCGUG